AACGAACGCUGGCGGCAUGCCUAACACAUGCAAGUCGAACGAGACCUUCGGGUCUAGUGGCGCACGGGUGCGUAACGCGUGGGAAUCUGCCCUUCGGUUGGGAAUAACUGAGAGAAAUUUCAGCUAAUACCUUAUAAUGUCUUCGGACCAAAGAUUUAUCGCCGAGGGAUGAGCCCGCGUAGGAUUAGGUAGUUGGUGGGGUAAUGGCCUACCAAGCCGACGAUCCUUAGCUGGUCUGAGAGGAUGAUCAGCCACACUGGGACUGAGACACGGCCCAGACUCCUACGGGAGGCAGCAGUGGGGAAUAUCGGACAAUGGGCGAAAGCCUGAUCCAGCAAUGCCGCGUGAGUGAUGAAGGCCUUAGGGUUGUAAAGCUCUUUUACCCGGGAUGAUAAUGACAGUACCGGGAGAAUAAGCUCCGGCUAACUCCGUGCCAGCCGCCGCCGUAA
rnacentral:rRNA from 1 species